GGGCGGAUAGCUCAGAUGGUAAGAGCGCCUGCCUUACAAGCAGGAGGUCGGUGGUUCAAAUCCACUUCCGCCCA
rnacentral:tRNA from 2 species